rnacentral:lncRNA from 1 species
UAAGGUUAUUUGAUUAAAACGUAGGGUUACCUCAUGUUAUUUUUAAUAAUAGCAUGUGUGGGUAAUAUAGAUGCAAAUUUAAUGGGUUACUUUAAGUAAUAGUGGUAGGCAAUUCAGUUGCAAAUUAGGGGGUUAUUUUAAAUAUUGUUUAUAAUGGCAUAAGUGGGUAAUUUUGAUGAAGAUUAAGGGGUUACUUUAGUUUAUUUUAUAUAAUGGCAGAGGUGGGUAAUUUAUAUAUAGAUUUAGGGGGUUACUUUAGGCUAUUUUCAUAAUGGCGUAGGUGGGUAAUUUUUUUUAAAACAUAAUAGAUCCAAUGUAUAUGAUGAUUUGAAUCUAUCGAUUGAUGGUUGGAUGUCUUGCUUUUUUGUGAGAAUUUGUAGGAUUUCUCUCUUUUUCUAGGGUGUCCACCUAGGAAUCCUAGGUGGCUUCACCUGGAGGCUUUAAAAGGAGCCUCCAAUUAGUAAUAGUAAGAUAGACAUUAUUAUGCAUCUAGAUCUAAACAUAUCUAGGUGCAUAGUAAAAAUUAUGCAUCUAGAAAUACUAAAACGAUCUACAAUUCGGGACGGAUGGAGUAGUAUAUUGCAAAUGAACUAAGGAGCAUUCAUGAUUAAGAAAAUCGAGAUGGUCAAGUUCUAGCGAACAGUUGAGCAUCUACAUAGCUCGCUUUUAGUGGGACUUAUCUAAAAGAAUUCAAUUGCACUAUUUAAGGAAAAAAAUCGCAAAUGUUUUGUACCUAGUCAUAUUUGCAUCAUGGUUUUCCUCCCUACCAACUGCUCAAGAUGCUUGGCAUCUUACACAUAGAUAUCUUUAAUUGCUUAUUUCAUUUAGUCGAACAACUGCUGCUGAUUGGCUGCAGACACACCGUUCAGAUGGCAUCACUAUCACAUUUCUUGCCUCUUGUUCCGGUACCAUUUCUUUAUACUUUUCUCAAUGAAGAAUAGAAACGACUGACCAUCCAUUAAAUCCAUAGUGCAGUCGAAGUGGUAACUAAUGUAAGAUACUAUGAGCCGUUAAUCCAUUAUGAUUUGCAGAUACCCCCAAAAAUAAUAUUUUGGAUUGUUUCUACUUUCUACUACCCACGCUGAUUCUGUUCACCUCCUGUUCUUUUCAAUGUGCCUCACGCUCAUAAUAAAAAUAUUACGAUUCAUCUUCACAUCUUUCAGGUUUCAUAUACCAGUGAGAUAACCUUCAACUUCGGCACUUGAGGGAGCCAUCAACUGCUCAGUCACAAGAAGUAGCUGAUCACCAAAAAACAUAUAACUUCC